rnacentral:rRNA from 1 species
UACGAAGGGGGCUAGCGUUGUUCGGAAUUACUGGGCGUAAAGGGCGCGUAGGCGGUACUUCAAGUCAGGCGUGAAAGCCCCGGGCUCAACCUGGGACGCGCUGAGACUGGAGAACUAGAGUUCGGGAGAGGAUGGUGGAAUUCCCAGUGUAGAGGUGAAAUUCGUAGAUAUUGGGAAGAACACCGAUGGCGAAGGCAGCCAUCUGGGACCGACACUGACGCUGAGGCGCGAAAGCGUGGGGAGCAAACAGG